rnacentral:lncRNA from 1 species
UGAGAUUAACAACAAAGCGAAGCUAAAUGCUGGAAAGGACCACAUUGGUCAAUCAGUUAGAAACACAGAGGAAAACAUCACCAGUAGAUUUAGGCAAGUACAAGAAAGAAGAGCAGAGGUUGAGGCAAAGGCUGAGAAAACACUACAUUCAAACAUCAACACUUUAAUCCAAAAAUAGUUAACUAUGAAACAGCAACCCCACCCACCUGAAAGUUAUAAACAGAAUGUUUAGAAUAGUAAACACCAGAGUGGAGGCUUGAAUGGCUUCCAUAAGGCUCAUAUAUUUGAGUGUCGGUCUUUGCAGCUGUAAUACCACCUUUGAUAUUACUACCAAGGUGGGUCACUGUGAUGGUUUGAAUAUUCUUGGCCAGGAAGUGGCAGUAUUAGGAGGUUUUGUUGGUAUAGUUGUGGCCUUGUUGGAGGAAGUGUGUCACUGUGGGAGUGGGCAAUGAGGCCCUGCUCCGAGCUGCCUGGACACAGUCUGCUCCUGGCUUCCUUUGGAUGAAGAUGCGGAACUUCUCCAGCACCAUGCCAGCCUGGACACCUCCAUGCUGCCCACCAUGAUGAUAAUAGACUGAACCUAAGAACCCAUAAGCCAGCCCCAACUAAAUGUUGUGUUUUGUAAGAGUUGCCUUGGUUAUGGUGUCUCUUCACAGCAAUGGAAACCCUAACUAAGACACUGUACUACUGGAUGUGACAAGCAAGAAUGCUAGGUGUUAUAGAGGCUGAACAUACCUGCCCAGUGUACUGAUUCAUUUUUGUGUGUCGACUUGACACAAGCUGGAGUUAUCACAGAGAAAGGAGCCUCCCUUGAGGAAAUGCCUCCAUGAGAUCCAGCUGUAAGGUAUUUUCUCAAUUAGUGAUCAAGGGUGGGAGGUCCACUUGUGGGUGGUGCCAUCCCUGGGCUGGUAGUCCUGGGUUCUAUAAGAAAGCAAGCUGAGCAAGCCAGGGGAAGCAAGCCAGUAAGUAACAUCCCUCCAUGGCCUCUAUAUCAGCUCCUGCUUGAGUUCCAGUCCUGACUUUCUUUGGUGAAAGGUGAAAGUGUAAGCUGAAUAAACCCUUUCCUCCCCAACUUGCUUCUUGGUCAUGAUGUUUGUGCAGGAAUAGAACCCUGACUAAGACACCCAGGCAAUGGGAGUUCUGUGCAGAACUUAGAGCUCCGGAUGGAAGGAUUCUAAGGGGUGUGUUGGGGCUAGGUGGUGGCAGCGGUCCUAACAAGCUAUGGGAGCCUGCAGAAUACUGCUUAGCUACUGUUCUUGUCCAGAGAGUCUCUGCAUCCAUUCUCUAGCCCCAGAAUACCCAUAAAUCAGCAUAUCACUUUGAACCAAAUAUCAGCCAAACUGAACUCCCACCUAGAGCCUCCCAGGUUCACAGAGGUUGUUGUAGAACUGAGAGCCCCUGCCCUUAGAUGCUUGCCACAUGGCACCUUAUAUGGAUACUUACUAGUUCACAGUCAACUACAGAUCUAGAGUGGCUCAGACAGCCAGAUGGACCCAUAUACAGCAACAAUGAUCAGAGGCAGCAAUCCAUCACCUUGAACAAAUUUCACUGCUAGGAUAAGCCGCCACCAUGCCUACCCUCAGGAGGAGGAAAUGCAUGCCAGAAGAUGGCAUUGAUGAAGGCUGUAUCACAGGCUCUCAGGACCCCUCAGAGGGAGCACCAGCAGGUUAGACAGAAGUCUUCAGGCACUGCCUUCCUCUGGCAUGCAAACAGAGCGUUGGCUCCUCUGGGUGACUUGUUUGUAGAGAUAUUCCUGUCUAAAAGAGUGACUCCUCCUCCAGAAAUGUCUGUCAGGAACGUGGGACAUGUCUGUAAAUGUCUCUUGUUAUCAUGUUUUGUGGUAAAUAUAAAAAAUGGGCAGGAACAAGGCUGGAAAAGCCAACUUCCCACUACCUUUAUACAUGAAGAUUGAUUCGUUGCUACUAUUUGUCUCUGGGUAAUUAGAGUCUUUUAUAAAUAACAGAAGGUUAUCAGCAAAUAAGUUGUCUUGAAAAUCUGUUCAGGAGAGCAGGCAUUGUGGUGUCUGCUUCUAAUUCCAAUAAUAAGGAGAGAAGCAGGGGCAGGGGCCAGGGCAGGGGCAGAGGCAAGAAAAUCUCUGUGAGUAUGAGGGCAGGCCGGUCUACAUAGUAAGUUCCAGGCCAAGUAGGGCUACAUAGUGAGUCCCUGUACUUUAAAACGAUAGCAACCACAACAAAGAAGAGGAAAAGAAAGCAAUUCUUUUUCAGGAGACAAAGAAGGAGACCCAUCCCUAGCAGACAACCCAGUCCAUUCCUGGGAGAGAGGAUGGCACCCAGCAAUGAGCAGACUCCACUAGACUGUUUUUCAGAUGGAGACAUUGGAGAAGCAGAGAGGAUGUGCACAAGGGAGGUACCACUGGACAUAGAAAGCAAAUGGAGAGACAUGGCAAGGAGAAAGGAUGUCAGUACUGAAGCUACUGCUAAGAGCCAAGAAAGGGGCUGGAAAGAGGACUCAGCUGUCAAGAACACUUGCUUCCUUCCAGACAACUCAGGUUCAACUCCCAGAAUCUUCGUAGGGGCUCACAACUGUGUGAACCUCCAGUCCCAGGGGGGAAUCUGAAACCUCUUCUGGUCUGUGCAAGCACCAGGCACAAAAGUGGUACACAGAUACACACAGAAGCUAAACACCCAUACACAUAAAAUAAAAAUGUAAAAAGGAUGAAUUAAGAGUCCUGUAAACACCACAGGAAGAUGAUGCUCAGAGCCCCCGAGUACCUGACUGUUCUUGCCAUGGAUUCAUGGGACAGAACCAGGUAAUAUCCAGUAUGUAAGAACUUGAGCAUAGUAGAUACUCAGAAUGUGAGUUUGUCGUUGAUUUGUCAUUGAUUUAAAAACAAAUAGAAACAGGACAAUGUGUGAGCGUAAACACCUACGUGACAGGCAAGUCGGACAUUGAUUGUUGGUACAACCAUGUGCAAGAGUCGCUUGGCUACUUUCACUUCCUAUAAACUGUGUUAUUAUAAGAAAACUUUAAUGGGAAAGAGAACCUGAGAUUUCCCACCAUGUAUUCCAAGAUUCAAAAGGAUAAUAGAAACCAGUACUUAGAGGUAAUCUCUGGUCUUCUCUUCAAUAGAUUUUCCAAAAUUCUAUCACACAGAAACUUCAAAGCAAGAAAAAUGAGCCAUUUAUAGGCUGAGGUUUCACCAAAAUUUAUGCCUCAGAACAUAAGAUGUAACUAAGAGGUUCCAUCCAGGACAUUUUCCCAAGAUGAAAGGACUUAGUCUAAAAAGAAGCAGUGACCACAAAACUCAGUGAGCAACCACUGUGGCCUUUCUGUCCACAGCGGAGCUGCUGUUUGCACUAGGGGUCUCCAGAGGCUUCCAGCACGUUCCUCGUGCAUCGCUGUGCUUGCAGCUCACUGGAACCUCUGACCGAUGGGCAUCUGAAGGCUUUGUCCUGUUCCUCUGUCCCUGUGUCUGCCUCCCAGUCAUGCCACUGUUUUCAACUCUUACCUAUUACUUCUUGAUGAAGUAGUUAGAUUGAAGUUCCCUCAAACACAUGGUCUGCUCCCCUAAAUUGUUUAAACCGUUGCUUGGGCCUAAGUGGGAAGCUAAAAGACAAGAGUCUCAAACACUGCCUUAUCUGGACAAUACUUGUGAAUUAUGAAUAUUUUAAAAUAGGCAUUUCAAUAUACACAUUUAUGAACACACACAUAUAUGAACACAUAUAUUACAAACUAAGUCACCAAGAGUCAGAAUUCCUGGAACUGUUGAGAAGACACGACGUGUCCCCUCUUCCCUUGAUGGGAAGCCAAGAUUUCAGCUGUGCUGACUUCUUUGGCUGUAUCACCAGCAGAAAAGAUACAUUAUGAACUUAGUAGAAAGACAUGCAUAUCUAUGAAGAUGAGUGGAAGCCUAGAUCUGUGAAGUGUGCUUAGAAAUGUACAGAGUGAGCUGGGCAGUGGUGGCGCACGCCUUUAAUCCCAGGACUUGGGAGGCAGAGGCAGGUGGAUUUCUGAGUUCGAGGCCAGCCUGGUCUACAAAGUGAGUUCCAUGACAACCAGGGCUACACAGAGAAACCCUGUCUCGAAAGAAAGAAAGAAAGAAAGAAAGAAAGAAAGAGAGAGAGAGAGAGA